UGGGCGGAAGCCUGAACCAGCCAUGCCGCGUGCAGGAUGACUGCCCUAUGGGUGUGUAAACUGCUUUUGUACGGGAAUGAAACCCCUCUACGUGUGAGGGGGCUGAAUGUACCGUAAGAAUAAGGAUCGGCUAACUCCGUGCCAGCAGCCGCGGUAAUACGGAGGAUCCGAGCGUUAUCCGGAUUUAUUGGGUUUAAAGGGUGCGUAGGCGGCCUUAUAAGUCAGGGGUGAAAUACGGCAGCUCAACUGUCGCAGUGCCUUUGAUACUGUAGGGCUUGAAUCUAUUUGAAGUGGGCGGAAUAAGACAAGUAGCGGUGAAAUGCAUAGAUAUGUCUUAGAACUCCGAUUGCGAAGGCAGCUCACUAAGUUAGUAUUGACGCUGAUGCACGAAAGCGUGGGGAUCGAACAGGAUUAGAUACCCUGGUAGUCCACGCCCUAAACGAUGAUAACUCGAUGUUGGCGAUACACAGUCAGCGUCUUAGCGAAAGCGUGAAGUNAUCCACCUGGGGAGUACGCCCGCAANGGUGAAACUCA
rnacentral:rRNA from 1 species